UGCUUCUCCAAGCCUUCAUGGAAGGCGAUUUCUUUCCAGCGCAUCUCCAGAGAUGGCUAGGCCCUGCUCUCCCUGGACACCCUGCUCUGUCCCAUCCUGAGGACAGUGCCUAGAGCAGACUGGCCCAUGUCGUGUCCUUUCCCAAAGUCCAGAGGCAAGGAGACAGGCACUGACAGACAUUUGAGCCAGAUAAAUAGGAGAGGCCCAGGGUUCUACUGGCUACACAAAGAGCAGACAGAGUUCAGAGAGGGAGUGCACAUCUAUGACCAGGAGUCCAGGAAAGAGUAAUGGAAGAAGAGAUAUCAGAGCUCAACUCAGUCCUUAAGGCUCCCAGGAUCCUAUUCCCCUGGAAGGACUUCCAGAAAGUCACUACCCCUGACAAGACUCAGAUCGGCUCCUGGACACGAAUGACAGGGGUUUGUGACACCUCAGAAAUCGAGUACAAGCCUGUGUGUGCAUAGGUGUGCAUGAGCACACAGGGACUUUUCUAAGGAGUGGCCUCCAGCUCUCAUCAAGGAGGGAUGUGCCCCAAAAGGUUGGAAGCUCCCAUUCAUUCAUGUCCCUCAGCCCUCCCACUGUGGACAGCCCCCUGAACUCCAGGUCCCGUGGAGUCAGGAGAACUAGGGAGGGAAAUGUGAUCCCUCCUCACCCCCACCCCAAGCUGCCUGACCCUGCUGCACUGCCAGGUGCCUGAGAGUCCAUCUGCAAACAGCGCAGUCACCUACACCUUGCAAAGCAGAAUGGGCACUGACGGGAGUUCAGAGAGAGGUCUACUUCUCCCCGGAGUGGUUAAAGAAGUGGGGAGCCUAAAGUCUUCCAGUUGACCCUUGCAAUGCCAUUCUCUUUUGGAGGUGAGUCCUUCUUCCCCAAGCCCCUCCUGGAUCAGUGAGGACCAUCUAGAUUUUUGGACAGAAGACUGAGGAAGGGGCUUGAGGCUGAGGAGGCCUUCACUAUACUCUCCCCCUGGCCUCUGCAGAGCCCACACCUGGCAGUUCCUGUGUGUGAAUCCCAAGCAAUCCACACGUUCAGGUUUGAUUUGCCCUGUGGAGAAGCUUGGAGACCCCAGAGUGGAGGCAGUGAUGCCAAUGUCUACUUGAGUCAAGGAAGAUGGCAGCCAAAGAUUUCCAGCCACGAGCAAUGCUUCCUCCAAGAUGACCAGGCUGGGCUUUAUCCCGAGCUCCGUUCAAACCACACAGACAGCAAGCAGGGGUGCGGAGAUGCAGUCCGCUGAGCUGGCCCUGGGGCCAGGCACCCUUCUGGAGGAGUCGGACAAGCCCCACAGUGAAGAAACUACCAGCCAGGGCUCUAGUCCCUGGGACCGAUCCCCACCCGUGCUGUCCGGUCCAUUUUGGCUUACUUUGCAGACAUGGUCACAGACGUACUAAGCCUUUCAAGGUGGCUUGGUAAGAAGAGUAGGCUUGGAUUGUACGGAAUCAGAGUGAGGGGUGGUGGCCCAGGUGAAAGGCUGGCUCCCAAAAAGAUGGGAAGUUUGAGUCUGUUUUCCACUGCCAAGAGUUUUGGAAACCUUGGGUUCAUCUAAGCCAGCACCCUGGAGAGAUGCCAGCACAGAGACCCUGGACCUUACAGGGGGUCCAGGACCUUACAGGACCCGACCCUGCAGGAGCCAGAGCCUUUCCCUGGGGUCCAAAAGAAGCUGAGGGAGAGGCACGGGUCCCUCAUCUGUGCCUGCGCCUGCGCACGUCAUUCU